UACGUAGGGUGCGAGCGUUAAUCGGAAUUACUGGGCGUAAAGCGUGCGCAGGCGGUUCGUUGUGUCGGCGGUGAAAGCCCCGGGCUUAACCUAGGAAUGGCCGUUGAAACUGGCGAACUGGAGUGUGGCAGAGGGGGGUGGAAUUCCGCGUGUAGCAGUGAAAUGCGUAGAGAUGCGGAGGAACACCGAUGGCGAAGGCAGCCCCCUGGGCUAACACUGACGCUCAGGCACGAAAGCGUGGGGAGCAAACAGG
rnacentral:rRNA from 1 species